CCCUCAGUAACUGCGAGUGAACAGGGAAGAGCCCAGCACCGAAGCCUGUGGCCAUUUGGCUACUAGGCAAUGUGGUGUUUAGGUCGUUCCUUGAGGGCGCUGCCUCACUUCAAGUCCAGCAAUGAGUACGGUAAUACUGACAUGGCCCAUAGAGGGUGAAAGGCCCGUGGGAGUGAGGUCGCAGAAAUGCCAGUGCCUUCCUGGAUAGACCUUGGAGUCGGGUUGUUUGUGAAUGCAGCCCAAAGUGGGUGGUAAACUCCAUCCAAGGCUAAAUACUAACACGAGUCCGAUAGCGAACAAGUACCGUGAGGGAAAGUUGAAAAGUACUUUGAAGAGAGAGUAAACAGUGCGUGAAACCGCUCAGAGGUAAACGGGUGGAGUUGAACUGUGAUCUCUGUGGAUUUAGCUGGUGAGUAUGGUUUGAGCUUGGUCAUACUGGUGGUAUUUUGGAAUCUGCUUAGCCGCAGGUCCCUGCCUUCGGGUGGGGAUGCGCGAUGCACUUAUCAAGUGUUGCGCGUUCCAGGUAUUUCGUGCCAGCUCGCCAGUGCACUUUCGCAGAGUGUUCACCACGACCGGCAUUGCUGUCUGGCUGUUGUGGUUAAACCGGCCUUUCUUUGUCCUUGUGGCUUUGAAUUGUCGGGAUGGCAGGUAGCUCUAUUGUCUGGCCUGUGGUUCGCUGCAGGUUCGGGCUCUCGGGUGUUAUCAGCUGACCGCAUUGGUUCUGUGCAGUAUGUCGGAGACGGCGGCUUGUGGCAUCCCUGCGGGCGUACUAGUUGGUUGGCGUGUCCGGGUUUGGUUGUUAUGUUGCCUGUGCUCUCAGGCCUGAUGAUAUCCCGGGCUCGUUCGGCUGGCGGUUGCGUUCGUGGUGC
rnacentral:rRNA from 1 species